rnacentral:lncRNA from 1 species
GGGGAUGUAUCAUACACAAUUACGGAAAAUAAAAAAUAAUAAUAAUUUUAAGAAUGCAAAUAAAGGGAUUGACUCAUAUAUGCAAAUAUCCCAAAUAUGAUAUAUAUAUUCUACAAGAUAACAGAGAGAACAAACCAAACAUGUGGGAUUCUAUAUUACUCACAAAUAACAACAAUUAAGAUACAAAUCAAAGCAGACCAGUGCUGUGGAAGGGGUUAUUAUUAGGUUGGUUAACCGCAAAAUCACCAAACCCGC